GGUCUUAUAUUCAAUUAAUGAUUUUGAAUUGCAAAUUCAAAGGCGUAAUAAAUUUACUAAGGCUU
rnacentral:tRNA from 1 species